UAACCUGCCCAAGAGACUGGGAUAACACCUGGAAACAGAGUGCUAAUACCGGAUAACAACACUAGACGCAUGUCUAGAGUUUAAAAGAUGGUUCUGCUAUCACUCUUGGAUGGACCUGCGGUGCAUUAGCUAGUUGGUAAGGUAACGGCUUACCAAGGCAAUGAUGCAUAGCCGAGUUGAGAGACUGAUCGGCCACAUUGGGACUGAGACACGGCCCAAACUCCUACGGAAGGCAGCAG
rnacentral:rRNA from 1 species